rnacentral:tRNA from 1 species
CCGGAUGUGGCUCAGUUUGGUAGAGCACCUGGUUUGGGACCAGGGGGUCGUAGGUUCAAAUCCUGCUAUCCGGA